GUCCCGCAACGAGCGCAACCCUUGCCAUUAGUUGCUACGAAAGGGCACUCUAAUGGGACUGCCGGGUGACGAACCGGAGGAAGGUGGGGAUGACGUCAAGUCCUCAUGGCCCUUAUGGGUAGGGCUUCACACGUCAUACAAUGGUCGGUACAGAGGGUUGCCAACCCGCGAGGGGGAGCUAAUCCCACAAAGCCGAUCGUAGUCCGGAUCGCAGUCUGCAACUCGACUGCGUGAAGUCGGAAUCGCUAGUAAUCGUGGAUCAGCAUGUCACGGUGAAUACGUUCCCGGGUCUU
rnacentral:rRNA from 1 species